AAACAAAAGAUAAUAUAACAAAAUCAAAACAUCUUUGGAUAUUGUACAAAUGCGUAUUUAUAAGUUUAUCAAUAUAUCCAUGUAAUUGUUUUGUUUUUCUUUAUAUUUGUUUAUGCGAAAUAACUUUGAAGGAUAAAAUCUUAAGCUCGUCAGUUUUUCGAAACUCCUCGACCUGACAACAACAAUAAACCUGCUCCAGCAACAUGGCGGGUAACGCGCGGCCCUCCAAUGUUGGUGGAUUGCCAUAAUAUCAAGUCAAUCGUAUCCUACCCCGGGAAAAGCGGACUUCUUAAGAUGGCCGAGUAUUUACACGUUUUCUACAAUUUAUAUUUCUUUUUUCAUUUGCAUAAUGUUUAAUAGUGCGUUUAUAAAGAUGACUGGAUUGUUUUUUUAAUAUAGCUUUGGUGUUGUGCCUUAGCAACAAAAAAAAAGAUAUUGGAGUAAUGUUAAUUUCGUUAUGGCGGCCAUCCUCUCGCCAAAUGGUCGCCAUCUAGCUUAAGACGCGUCAACAAUUAAGUAUUUGGCCGAUAACUUAAUUCAACUGACUAAAGAAAAACUGAUAGAAAUGUUCACACUUAGUAGUACAUCAUUUGUGUUAAAAGAGACCUUGUUAAUUAUAAUUAUCAUCGUAAUAAUCGAUAUAUAACUUGUUUAUUGGCAUAUGUUAAGAUUGCUUCUUUGCAAAAUUAGGAUUAAUUUGUUAUACGAUUGUAUUUGUUGAAGGGUUAUAUAAUAAAGGAAGAAAAAGCAAA